rnacentral:lncRNA from 1 species
UCCCAAUUUCCAAUAACAUGGCUAAAGGGCCUUAAAGUAUUUAGACUACAGAAAUUCAUGCCCUCAAAUUCCCCAACCAUCUGUCCCAUCGUUAUCAACUCCUUAUCUAUAAUCUAGAACUCUCUUUCCAUGUAUUCCAUGACCCAACUUCAUUUUUAAAGUCCUUGAACUCUUAAUUUGUAAUUAUGAUGUGGUUUUUGAGUUCAAUUGAGCCAUUGCUCUGAACCAAUAUUCAGGUCCAUAUUCAUAUAACAUUUAGUAAUAGUUACAAGAGCUUUGAACCAAGGAAAAUUAAAUCAUGCUUAUCCAAAUCAACCAAAAAGUCGAGAGAGAGAGAGAGAGAGAGAGCUAAGCAGCGGGAUAUCACAACAAUCCCCACUUACAAGAGACAAUGAUUGUUCCCACUAUCUAAUAAACUAGAACAUUUUUUACGGUUACGCAUGUCUAAAUUGUUGAUGAUAAAAUAAGUGUCAACAAGGCACUCCUGUUUCUUAACAAUGAACAGAGAUAGAAAUCAAUGUGAUCCUAUAGAAACAAUUCUAUACUCUAGAGAGAGAGAGAGAAUCUGAUGCAGCCAUGCCCCUUCGUUACUGGGCCAAAGAAAGGUCGCAGAACCCAAGAGGGAAAAAAAGGCCAAUGACGUAAUAAGGAAAAAUUAAUAGGGUUAUUUAUUAGGAUUAUUUUAAUUAUUCUUUUGUUUAGGGAGUGCACAAGGAUAAUUAGCAAGGUGGCUUUAGAGUUUAUAUUGUGUUUAUCUUAUAUUGAUUGGGUUAAUUUGAGGGAUAUAAUUAAGAUAAGGGUAAAUUUAGAAGAGAGUUUAUCUUUAUUAACAAUAACCAACUUGGGAGGUUUUUUUUGGGUAAAACAAGAGAGGAAAAACGUGGCUAUCUAGAAGCCCAUGAAUAUGAGAGAGAGAAAAUAGGGAUAGGUGUAGAGAGAAGUUUUUUAUUAGUUAUCUUAUUUUAGUCUAUUUAAAGGGACAUCUCCUAUCCUUGUAAAGCAGUCUAUGAAUUGAAUAAAAAUUGAUCUCUUGAAAGAGAUAAUUUUGGGGGUGGAUUCCCUUGCAGACUUUUGAGAGAGAGGGUAUUUUUCUCUUAACCUUCCUUCUUUUUAUUGUCAAUUUUCUAGUUUUAUUCUCUCCCUGCAUCAAUUGAAAUCAGAGCGAGGUUUCGAUGGCUUCACAGGAGACACCCCUUGAUGGAUUAAAAGUAUUGACUGGAUUAGUUCAAGGCCUAGCAGAGAGAGUAGACCAAUUCAUGCAUGUAGCCGCGAAAGUCGAUGAGCUUGCACAAAGGUUCGCUCAGCUUCAGGAUGGAAGGAAUCCAGAUACUGGCGUUGGAACUCAAGGCAACAGAGAUGAAAGAGGUAUGCACCAACCUCGGGUGGCCCCGACUAAUAACGAAUUCAAUGAACGAAUUCUUCGGUUGUUGGAAAGAGAAAGAGAACCUGGAAUAAAAAUUGAUAUUCCAAACUUCCAUGGUCGAUUGCAUGCAGAUGAUUUUCUUGAUUGGCUAAGUAAAGUAGAGAAAGUGUUUGAGUACAAAGAUAUUGCAGAUCACAAAAAAGUAAAAUUAGUAGCCAUAAAAUUUUCUGGUCAUGCAUUGGUUUGGUGGGAUGAUUUGCAACAGGAUCGUCUUGGACAAGGCAAGGAAAAGAUUAAUUCGUGGGAAAAGAUGAAGACGAAGAUGCGCCGAAAAUUUUUACCAGUAAAUUAUGCCCGAACUUUGUACCGAAUGUGUCAAAACCUCAAGCAAGGUGAAAAGUCGGUAAGUGACUAUACUGAAGAGUUUUAUAUUUUGACAUCUAGGGUAAAUUUACAAGAGUAUGAAGAUCAAAAAAUAAGUCGUUACUUGAAUGGGCUAAAUCAAGGCAUUCAGAUUGAAUUGGUUCAAAGAUGUCUAUAAGAUGUCUGAUGCCUAUACUUUAACCCUCAAAGCAGAAGAAAUAGUCAAUCUUGGCCUUGGGAGAAAUAGCUCAGUGACAAGAGGCUCUACUUCAAUACAGGGGUAGCAAGCUUUAACCUUUAGAAGACCACCUAUAGGGCGCGGAAACCAAACCUCUCAGAAUUUUCCAACUAGGCCAAACCCUAAUAUGGGGAGAGGUGGUGUUGGGAGAUUGUUGGGAGUACCUAAAACACUUCAUGAUAAUACACAAAUAGUGUGUUUCAAGUGCUAACAGCCUGGACAUAUGGCAUUUAAUUGCCCCUCACGUCAACCCCUUGUCAAAGUUAAUUUGGCUGAAAAAAAUUAUGAAGAAGAAGUUGAUGAAGGAUACACCUAUGAAGGCCAAGGUGAUAUUGGGACGAGCCAGUCUUAUGAAGGGACUUGGCCUUUCAAAGGUGAAGUUGAGGAUUUGUAUGGAGAUGAAGAGGGUGAAGUAUUAGUUGUCCAGCGAACUAUGUUAUCAACCCCAAUACCUAACGAGGAUGAGAAGUGGCUGCGACAUAAUAUUUUUCGAACAAUCUACACAUCAGGAGGCAAGUUAUGUACAGUACUAAUUAAUGGUGGGAGCAGUGAAAACAUUGUGUCUAAAAAGAUGGUGGCUAAACUUCAAUUGAAGGAACAUAAGCACCCACGCCCAUAUCACAUCCAGUGGUUCAAGAAAGGAAGUGAGGUACCAGUUCUUACUCGUUUUUUAAUCUCUUUUUCCGUUGGUGCUAAUUAUAAAGAUAAAGAAGUGUGGUGUGAUGUAGCACCGAUGGAUGUAUGCCACAUAUUACUUGGUAGACCAUGGCUUUAUGAUCAUGAUAUGGUGCAUAAAACUAGGUCAAACACUUAUUCUUUUGUUAAGGAUGGUAUUAAUAUAAUACUCCACCCUUUGAAGCAACUUCCUACACCCAAAUCCACUAAAGAGGAGGGUUCAAAGUUGCUUAAUGUUCAAAAAUUAAAAAGGGACAACAAGGAUAUGGAUAUGAUUUAUGUAUUGGUUGCAAAAGAAAAUUCUGCACCGACUGCAAUUCUUAAGUCUCUUGAACCUCUACUUGAUAAGUAUAAAGAUUUGAUGCUUGAAGAAUUACCUGAUGGUCCUCCUCCAAUGAGAAAUAUUCAGCAUCACAUUGACUUGGUGCCCGAAUCUACCGUACCAAAUUUGGCCCAUUAUCGAAUGAGCCCCAUGGAAUAUGAGGGGUUGCACAAACAAGUUGUUGCUUUGCUUAAGAAGGGAUUGCUUCGAGAAAGAAUGUCACCAUGUGUCGUCCCUGCAUUACUGACUCCAAAAAAAGAUGGGUCAUAGAGGAUGUGUGUGGACAGUCGGGCAAUCCACAAAAUCACAAUCAAGUACCGAUUUCCCAUACCUAGACUCGAUGAUAUGUUAGAUAUGCUUAAUGGAGCCAAGAUUUUCUCAAAGAUUGAUUUAAGGAGUGGGUACCAUCAAAUUCGGAUUCGUCCUGCAAAUGAAUGGAAAACCGCAUUCAAAACUCGAGAUAAACUAUAUGAGUGGCUUGUGAUGCCAUUCGGCCUUUCUAAUGCACCAAGUACAUUCAUGUGCCUAAUGACUGAGGUACUUCGUCCUUUUAUUGGCAAAUUUGUUGUGGUUUACUUUGAUGAUAUCUUGGUUUUUAGAGCUAACCCACAUGAUCAUCUUAACCACUUGGAACAAGUUUUUGAUGUGCUAAGGAAUAAAUCGCUUAUUGUGAAUUUGAAAAAAUGCUCAUUUAUGACAAACAAUGUCAUCUUUCUGGGGUAUGUUGUUUCACCUGGGGAAUUAAGGUAGAUCAAGAAAAAGUGAAAGCCAUAGCUGAGUGGCCGGCCCCAAAGUCACUCACUGAGGUACGUUCUUUUCAUGGCCUGACGACCUUUUAUUGUCGAUUUAUCAGAAAUUUUAGCACUCUAAUAGCAUCAAUGACUGAUUUUAUGAGGCCAAGAAAGUUUUCAUGGAGUCCCGCUGCUAAAAAGAGCUUCACUCUAAUUAAACAAAAGAUGAUGCAAGCACCAGUACUUGCCUUACCAUAUUUUUCUAAGGUGUUUGAGAUUGAAACUGAUGCAUCAAAUGUUGGCAUAGGGGCAGUUCUAAGUCAAGAGGGACGACCAUUGGCCUUCUUUAGUGAGAAAUUGAAUGAUGCACGUAAGAAGUAUUCGGUUUAUGACCUCGAGUUUUAUGCAGUGCUGCAAGCCUUACGCUACUGGAGGCACUACCUGAUUCAUAGAUAGUUUGUUCUAUACUCAGAUAAUGAAGCACUCCGGUAUUUGAGUUCCCAUAAAAAGUUGAAUGCGCGACAUGCUAAGUGGAUGGCCUUCCUUCAAGAAUACACAUUCCUAUUAAAGCACAAGGCUGGAACCCAAAAUAAGGCAGCUGAUGCUUUAAGUAGAAGGGUAGCGUUUCUUAGAACUUUGUCUAUGGAAGUGUUGGGGUUUGAAGUGAUAAAAUAUCAAUAUAAAGUUGAUCCAAUUUUCAGCAAGGUCCUUGAAAGGUGUGUUGAUGGGCGAGACCCUAUGGUGAGUAUCUCGUGCAUGAUGUUUGUUUAUUUAAAGGUGUGAGGUUAUGUAUACCUAAUUGCUCCCUAACGGAGAAGAUAAUCAUGGAGCUUCAUGGUGGGGGCUUGGGUGGACACUUUGAGAAUGACAAAACUAUGGCUAUGGUUGGAGAAAAAUAUUUUUGGCCACGUAUGCAACGAGAUGUUGAUCGAUUUGUGACCCGAUGUCAAACUUGCCAAGUAUCUAAAGGUCACACACAAAAUACAGGUCUUUAUACUCCUCUUCCUGUUCCAGAUGCCCCAUGGGUUGAUAUUUUUAUAGACUUUGUACUUGGACUUCCACGUACCACACGAGGUAUGGACUCUAUUUUUUGUUGUUGUUGAUCGAUUUUUCAAUAUGGCACAUUUUAUUCCUUGUAGAAGAACUAUGGAUGCUACACAUAUCAUGAAUCUCUUUUUCAAAGAUAUUGUAAGGCUACAUGGUGUUCCUAAGUCUAUUACAUCUGAUCGGGAUACAAAAUUUUUAAGUCAUUUUUUGCACACUUUAUGAAAGUGAAUGGGAACCAAACUUCAAUUUUCUAGUGCAUAACAUCCUCAAACAGAUGGGCAGACCGAAGUAGUGAAUAGGAGCCUUGGUAACCUCUUGAGGAGUAUUGUUGGUGAUUACAUAUCUCAGUAGGACCUCACUUUGCCUCAGGCUGAGUUUGCUUACAACAGUUCAAUAAAUCGAUCUACAGGAAAAUCACCAUUUGCUAUUGUUAAUGGGCGGAUGCCUAAUCAUGUGUUGGACCUAGUGCCAUUACCCAUGCGAGGCAAGAUAAGUGAUGAUACCAAUGCUUUUGCUGAGCAUAUUCAAGAUUUGCAAGCGCAAAUCAAGAAGAAAAUUGAGAAGAGCAAUGCAAAGUAUCAAAAAGCCUCAAAUGAGCAUAGAAGAGAGAAGAUUUUCAAGGAGGGUGACUUAGUAAUGGCGUAUUUGCGAAAUGAAAGGUUUCCGUUGGGAACCUAUAAUAAACUCAAAUCCAAGAAAGUGGGUCCUUGCCACAUCUUGAAGCAAUAUGGGAACAAUGCAUAUAAGGUAGAAUUACCAAAGGCAUUGGAUAUCUCCCCAAUAUAUAAUGUUGUUGACUUAAUUGAGUUUCAUGGAGACCCUCUAGAAGUCGCAGAAGAUGUAGUAGCUAUGAGGAAAAAAUUACAAAGGAAGAAAGCGGAUGAAAUUGAGCAAUUUUUGAAGAUUGAAAGCUUUCAAACUCGAAAGGAUUCCUAUCGCUAAUUUCUAGUCAAAUGGAAGGGCAGGCCAUACUCUGAUAGCACGUGGAUUUCUGAGCCAGAGUUCAAAAGAGUGGAUCCAAACUUAUAUCGCAUAUAUACUGAAGUUAACUCGCCGGAGUCGAGUUCCUUCACCUUGGGGGGGAAUUAUGCAGCCAUGCCCCUUCGUGAAUGGGCCAAAGAAGGGUCGCAGAACCCAAGAGGGAAAGAAAGGACAAUGACGUAAUAAGGAAAAAUUAAUAAGGUUAUUUAUUAGGAUUAUUUUAAUUAUUCUUUUGUUUAGGGAGUGCACAAGGAUAAUUAGCAAGGCGACUUUAGAGUUUAUAUUGUGUUUAUCUUAUAUCGAUUGGAUUAGUUUGAGGGAUAUAAUUAGGAUAAUGGUAAAUUUAGAAGAGUUUAUCUUUAUUAACAAUAACCACCUUGGGAGGUUUUUUUUGGGUAAAACAUGAGAGAGAAAACGUGGCUAUCUAGAAGCCAAUGAAUAUGAGAGAGAGAAAAUAAGGUUAGGUGUAGAGAGAAGUUUUUUAUUAGUUAUCUUAUUUUAGUCUAUUUAAAGGGACAUCUCCUAUCCUUGUAAAGCAGUCUAUGAAUUGAAUAAAAAUUGAUCUCUUGAAAGAGAUUAUUUUGGGAGUGGAUUCCCUUGCAGACCUUUGAGAGAGAGGGUAUUUUGCUCUUAACCUUCCUUCUUUUUAUUGUCAAUUUUCUGGUUUUAUUCUCUCCCAACAUCAGAAUCUUACCUCACUGCUUGAACGCAGCUGCUCGACAAGGAUAAAGGUAGUGAAAGAAAUGUUUUUUAUCGGUUUGCCAUUAUUUUUCCAUCAAAUAUUAAGAAGUGAGUUUGGAAAAUUACAGCACAAUAUUUAUGUCCUGACUCCUAAUAUAGAAUGCCAUAAGGUGUCAUCACAAUCCAAUCUAUAAAUUGGACUGUGAUGGAAAUAGUGUUGGAAAUUAGAAACAAUUAUGUUUGUUUUAUUUUUUUUUAAAUGUUCACUAUAUUUACUGUAUUAUCAAGUACUAAAUUCUUUAGACUCUUGAAAGUUGUCUAUCCAGUUGAUUCUAUCAUGUUGGUAAGUAUCUAGAUUAAAAAGAGUAACAAGAACCCUAAUAACAUAUCAAGCCUGUUGGACAACUGGAAGGUGGAAUUUCCUUGGAAACUAGAAUUUCUAGAAUCUGGAAACUGGAAUGUUGAUACAUGGAACUGGAAAAUACUGUGUUUGAUAACCUAUCUGGAAUUCUAAGGGAAUCUAGAGACCUGCGUUUAAUUAGAUCUGGAAGUUUCGGAAUUUGGAGAUCUUGAAAUAAGCAUGUUUUAAUCAGUCGUUGAAGUUUUCAUUAAUGAGAGAAGGAUAUUUGUUCAAUGGAAGGAUUUUUAAAUCAUUGCUCAUCAACAAUAGGUUCUAACAAAAUGGCCGGUUCAGAUCAUAAAGAAAAAUCCCAUCUUUAGUAAGUUCACAACAUAGACUCCUAAAUAGAAAACUGAUCUCAUUGGAGGUGAAGACGUUCAAGAAAGUUCAUAAAAGUUCUAGUACCAGAAAACUUGUUAGUGUACAUGCAAUAGCCUAAAGUAACAUCAGUGUUUGCAACUUACCCUUUUUUGACAUACAUAAUAUCCUCAUCAUAUGUUUAGCUUACACGAGGGAAAUGGACCUAUCACACAUAUCAUAUGAAAAGAAAGAUGCAUCUUCCACAUUCGAAAG